UUAGGUUGGGUUCUCCCACAAGUAGAACUGAGACAAAGAUCUGAGAGCAAGUUAUUAGGGAGGUGACCCCAAGAAGCACCAGCAGGCGCACAGAGAAUGAAGGCAAGGAAGAGAAGAAAGCCAAGGCAAUGUUCGUGAAUGAAAAGGUUACUGCUGUGGGGCGCCAGGGUACAAUCCCACUGGGCACCUCUAAGAGACUAUGUAGAACAUGCCACAGAGCUGUCCUACCUCGACAGUGAGGAGCUAACAUUUUUGCCAACAACUCCUGCCUGCCUCCGCAAGGAUGGCCAACUUCCCAACAUGUCCGGCAUGGAACUCGCAUGCUCCUGCAGCCAGAGAUCACCCUCUGGUGGACCAGUGGGUGUCAUGGAUCAGAAGUUUGUCUUCAAGCCUCCCAGAAGUGGCGUUCUGAAGUUACAGCCUCCCUCUUUCUGGCCUUUCUAAACAUGGCCAAGUGCCUUCCCUACAUUCAAAUGACCCAGGGAGAGCAAGUGUGACCAGAGUCCCCAGCCAUGUCCUCUUCGUUCAGCUCUGCAAACUUCACGGACAUCGAUGAUAUUUACCAUUUCCCUGCCCAGUUCCUCCCUUUGGUAGAAUUUAUCUGGAAAGCUCAGAGUUUCAGCGACGAGCUCAAGGAACCUGGUACCGCAGGUAUUAGAGAAAGGCCGGCAAGAAGAACUGGGAGGUCUACUAGGGACUGACACUGUAACGAAAAUAUUAUUUUGAGCCACUGGGAUAUAAGGAAGAUGCUGGUAUCCUUGGGUAUUUUUGCCCCGAGGUAAAAAGCAUCCAGUGACUGCUGUCUUUGCAUAUCCUGUGGUUUGUGAACAUUAACCCCAAACAAAGCAGAGUUCAAGACCUCUGUUGCUCUGCUGGACCAUCUCUACCUUGCUUAGACCACCAAACGUGAAAAACCGCACACGCUUCGCAGUCUUGUACCCUCUGCAGUUCACACAGAAGGUGCUUAGCCUAGUGAAUCAAAUCCAGGGCAACGGUCAACCAACUGGUAUCUUAAGUUACUGCUUUUCCCAGAGAAUUCUAUUUUCUCUCCCAAGCCCUGGUACGGGAAAGGUAGCGUGAGAGAGAGGUCUGAGAUUCCACUCAAAGGAAAAAUUUCUCAAAUCUUAUUACCAACAGAAAAUACCUUUAGCUAAAUGAUUCAGAUCCAGAACUGAGGCACGGCUACUUUCCUCGUUAUGUACAGACCCACUGUCGCGGGCUUAGGCGGAGGAUGAAACGAACUCUAAAAUUUAAGGAGAACAAAGUCCCUCAGUAUCAGACCGAAUCCAAAGGAGGUUUUCCAAGAUCAGGAACUUCUUCCCUUCCCUGACUCUCAAAACGAUGGGUGUUUCCACAGCCAUAUCUGGAGACACCAAGGGGGAGUUUCUAGGAAGGGGGCAUUAUAAUAAUUUCUGUUAAUAUCCAGCCUCUAAAAUCUACGUCAAAUAAGCACAUAGUCCAAAUAAACAUACCAUGCCAGCCA
rnacentral:lncRNA from 1 species